rnacentral:rRNA from 1 species
UACGUAGGGUGCGAGCGUUAAUCGGAAUUACUGGGCGUAAAGCGUGCGCAGGCGGUUAUGUAAGACAGAUGUGAAAUCCCCGGGCUCAACCUGGGAAUUGCAUCUGUGACUGCAUAGCUAGAGUACGGUAGAGGGGGAUGGAAUUCCGCGUGUAGCAGUGAAAUGCGUAGAUAUGCGGAGGAACACCGAUGGCGAAGGCAAUCCCCCUGGACCUGUACUGACGCUCAUGCACGAAAGCGUGGGGGAGCAAACAGG